rnacentral:rRNA from 1 species
ACGGUCCUAAGGUAGCGAAAUUCCUUGUCGGGUAAGUUCCGACCUGCACGAAUGGCAUAAUGAUGGCCACACUGUCUCCUCCCGAGACUCAGUGAAGUUGAAGUGUUUGUGAUGAUGCAAUCUCCCCGCGGCUAGACGGAAAGACCCCAUGAACCUUUACUGUAGCUUUACAUUGGACUGUGAACCGAUUUGUGUAGGAUAGGUGGGAGGCAGUGAAACUCGGACGCCAGUUUGAGCGGAGCCAUCCUUGAAAUACCACCCUGAUUUGUUUGCGGUUCUAACCUCGGCCCAUGAUCUGGGCUAGGGACCGUGUAUGGUAGGCAGUUUGACUGGGGCGGUCUCCUCCUAAAGGGUAACGGAGGAGUGCGAAGGUACGCUAGGUACGGUCGGAAAUCGUGCUGAUAGUGCAAUGGCAUAAGCGUGCUUGACUGCGAGACCUACAAGUCGAGCAGAUGCGAAAGCAGGUCAUAGUGAUCCGGUGGCUCUGUAUGGAAGGGCCAUCGCUCAACGGAUAAAAGGUACUCUGGGGAUAACAGGCUGAUACCGCCCAAGAGUUCAUAUCGACGGCGGUGUUUGGCACCUCGAUGUCGGCUCAUCACAUCCUGGGGCUGAAGUAGGUCCCAAGGGUUCGGCUGUUCGCCGAUUAAAGUGGUACGUGAGCUGGGUUCAGAACGUCGUGAGACAGUUCGGUCCCUAUCCAUCGCGGGCGUAAGAGAUUUGAAGGGGGCUGCUCCUAGUACGAGAGGACCGGAGUGGACGGACCGCUGGUGUACCAAUUAUCCUGCCAAGGGUAUAGUUGGGUAGCUACGUCCGGAACGGAUAAACGCUGAAAGCAUCUAAGCGUGAAACCAUCCUUAAGAUGAGAUCUCUCAUAGAGUAAUCUAGUAAGACACCUUGAAGAUUACAAGGUUGAUAGGCAGGAUGUGUAAGCACAGCAAUGUGUUAAGCUGACCUGUACUAAUAUGUCGAGGGCUUGACUUA